UUUCGCUCUGUCGCCCAGGCUGGAGUGCAGUGGCACAAUCUCGGUUCACUGCAACCUCUGCCUCCCGGGUUCAAGCAGUUCUCUUGCCUCAGCCUCCCAAGUAACUGGUACUACAGAGAAUUGAUACAAAAAAUGAUCAUGUGAAGAAUUUGCAUCUUCUGCAGAACUACCGGUAUCAGUCAGCAGUAGGAGAUUUGUCGUCUUCAUCUCAUUCCUUUGGCUUUCCCGUCUGUCCAGAGGGACCAGAGGAAGACAGCUUCAUAAAGAGAGGCAUCCCAGCCUAGAUGCUUCCAGUUUAGAGUAUGGAUCUGGGCUCUUCACAUGGAGAGAAAAGACUGGCGCUGAGAAGGAUCCUCAGAGGACAGGUUGGCAUAUUUCAGAGACAAACCAUCUGAAGAAACCAAAGAGCCUGGCUCUUUAUUAGUCUUGCAAGGGGAGCAUGCAGGACAACAGCAGCAUGAGAUGCUGAGUGGUAGGAAGCAUCAAAGGAUUUGACUGGGAGGACAGUCAUGGUUCCGUUACAGGUGCUGGCACCAAGAAAAUGCAUACACCCUGUGGGCAGCUCACUUUGAAGAGAGAGAGGAGAAGAAAGGGCUGGGCUGCCCCUACUCAAGCUCUUCUUCCAAAAGCAGUACUCAGAUGGGUCACUCCAUAAUUCCCAGGGUCCAGUCAGGGAGCGGUGGGGAGAGGCUGGAGUGGCCUACUAAGGGAGAGCCCUGUUAACAGAGCCUCCUACACAAGGAAGAAUCACUAGGAGAGGGGAAGGAACGUGCGAGGCCCCUGCCAACUCCUCUUCCAUACUCGUUCGUUUGCGCAUUCAACACACUUUUGAGCACCUUCUUUUCCUCUGUGCUCUGUGACAGGAAUUCAAACAUGAAACUAGAUGUGGCCUUGGCUUUCAGAGAAGUCAUUCCCUUAGUAGUGAAUACUAGUUCCCUGAAGUUUAACAUUGGAGGAGAAGGAGUUAUUAAACACCCAUUCUAAGCAAGAACAUCAGUAGCCUACAAAGGGCCUUUUUUCACACUUUGAGUCUGUUGAAGAAAACUCACAGUUGGUAUCACUUGCUUUAAAAGUGCCCCCCACUCUGCCUUGUACGGUCCGGAUUGCUGUGAGGCCAUGACAAGGAACCAAGUUCUGUUUUUCUGUGAAGAGAAUGGAAUAAUCAUUUACCUCUUUCCUGUGGCUGCCAGCUGGUCCCUUCACUCAGUCACUCCCUGUUUCUCCUUCCUCCCUUUCCUCUCCCCUUCCAGUACACAGAAUCCCUUCUCCAUAUCCCCCCAUGAUGAAGGACCACCAGUCAUUGGCUCACCUCUCUUCCAAAAUUCCAAUGACUAGAGUCUUUCUCAGAGUAUGUAUAACUGAUGUCACAGACCCCUGAGUCUGGAAGAGUCUAAGUAAAAGUGGGUGUUGACCUGAAUGUAAGUUAGUUUUCUAUUGUCUUAGUUUUUGCUCCCCUCAAAAGAGACCCUGAGAUGAUACGGAUGAGAUGAUAUGGAUGCAAUUAAUUUUGUAUGUGUGUGUCG
rnacentral:lncRNA from 1 species